CCUACGGGUGGCUGCAGUGGGGAAUAUUGGACAAUGGGGGGAACCCUGAUCCAGCCAUGCCGCGUGUGUGAAGAAGGCCCUCGGGUUGUAAAGCACUUUCAGUGAGGAAGAACGCCUGGUGGUUAAUACCCAUCAGGAAAGACAUCACUCACAGAAGAAGCACCGGCUAACUCCGUGCCAGCAGCCGCGGUAAUACGGAGGGUGCGAGCGUUAAUCGGAAUUACUGGGCGUAAAGCGCGCGUAGGUGGCUUGAUAAGCCGGUUGUGAAAGCCCCGGGCUCAACCUGGGAACGGCAUCCGGAACUGUCAAGCUAGAGUGCAGGAGAGGAAGGUAGAAUUCCCGGUGUAGCGGUGAAAUGCGUAGAGAUCGGGAGGAAUACCAGUGGCGAAGGCGGCCUUCUGGACUGACACCGACACUGAGGUGCGAAAGCGUGGGUAGCAAACAGGAUUAGAUACCCCAGUAGUC
rnacentral:rRNA from 1 species